CGUUUGUGUGUCUCUCAGUGCGUGUGUGUGUGUGUGUGUGCGUGUGUGUGGUUGAGGGGUGAGGCGAGUGUCGCAACGAUUCCUGUAAAGGGCGUCGUGAGCCUCGUUAGUUCCGCUUGGUCUCUGCAGAGACGGAGAGAGAGAGAGAGACAGAGGGAGAGACGGACAGGCGGACAGACGGACAGGCGGAGAGCCUUGAGUCGUCGAUUCCCAGCUCUGAGAACUCGAUCAACAUCCAUCUCCAAGCCACAGCUCAGACACAGACAGAAGGCGCCCCCACCCCCAGGACCUGCUCCUCUCCAGCCCCUCCUCGUCCUCAGGAUGAAGCCACUGUUCCUGUUUCUCCUCCUCACGACGUUACUGGAGACAAGAACAGUGGGAACUGCAGCUUCAGAUCCGCUCCAGAAACCCACCAUUUCCCUGAAGCCAAAUUCCCGUGAGUUCGUGAGAGGGGAAAGUGUUGAGAUCUCGUGUUCUGCUGAUGGUUCUGGCGACAGGUUCUCUUUAUACAGAGGCGACGGGUCUAUCGAUUCAAAACGUCCUCCCGCGGGCAGCGACACAGCGACAUUUACUGUGUCAAACAUCACAGCGGGAAAAUACAGCUGUCAAUAUAGUAGGAAAAGACCAGGAUACGGGUAUUCAUUAUCACCACCGAGCGAUGGUGUGGAAAUCAUUGUAAAGGAUUCACUCCGGAAACCCACCAUUUCCCUGAAGCCGGAUUCCCGGGUCUUCGUGAGAGAGGAAAGGCCUGAGAUCUCGUGCUCUGGGAAUUAUCCCGGCAGCGAAUUCUCUUUAUACAGAGACGGAGAGUUUAUCAGAUUGCAAACAGCUCCGGGGAAUAGCAACACGACAACAUUUACCCCCUCGGAGAUCGGGGCAGGAAAUUACUGGUGUCGAUAUAACAUAACCAUAGAGGGACGAGAGUUUGUAUCACCAGAGAGUGAGCGAGUGGGAGUCAGUGUGAAGGAUUCACUCCGGAAACCCACCAUUUCCCUGAAGCCGGAUUCCCGGGUGUUUGUGAGAGAGGAAAGCCCUGAGAUCUCGUGUUCUGGGAAUUAUCGGGGCAGCAAAUUCUCUUUAUACAGAGACGGAGAGUUUAUCACAUCACAAACAGCUCCGGGGCACGUCAACACGGCAACAUUUACCCCCUCGGAGAUCACAACAGGAAAUUACUGGUGUCAAUAUAAUAUAACCAUUGAGGGACGAGAGGUCACUUCACCAGAGAGCGAGCGAGUGGGAAUCAAUGUGUGGGAUUCACUCCGGAAACCCACCAUUUCCCUGAAGCCGGAUUCCCGGGUCUUCGUGAGAGAGGAAAGGCCUGAGAUCUCGUGUUCUGGGAAUUAUCCCGGCAGCAAAUUCUCUUUAUACAGAGACGGAGAGCGUAUCGGAUCGCAAACAGCUCCGGGGAAUAGCAACACAACGACAUUUACCCCCUCGGAGAUCGGGGCAGGAAAUUACUGGUGUCGAUAUAACAUAACCAUUGAGGGACGAGUGUUUGUAUCACCAGAGAGCGAGCGAGUGGGAAUCAUUGUGUGGGGUUGCUCGGCUGCUCAGAACACGAUGAGAACUAUAAACGUGCUCCACAUCUGCCUGACGAUCGUCAUGUCGCUGGUAAUUAUGGUCCUGCUCUUCGUUGAAUGCCGACCAACGAGAAGAGACGCCAAUCGAGACAGGGUUGUUGAAGCAACCUCUUGACUCUCCUCAAAACUCUCAGGGCUCCAAACCCGACUCCACAUCAUCCUCCGGCUCGGUCCACCUGAACCCUUCUCUCGGUGUCGCUUCCCGCCUUCGCUUUGGCCUCGAACACCCUGAUCCGCUCGCUCACCCGGGUUCUCUGCCUGUCUCCUCUCGGGAGAAGCUUUGCUCCAAGACGUACCGCUCAACCACGAGGUGUUUCGGGGGUGAUUUGAAGCCGAAAGUCGGGAAACCGGGAAUACUAACGGGAACCACGACACCUUCGACAAAUAAUAUCAACAGCGACAACAACCAACAUGGAUUAACAAGGCCAUUCCUCAUCAAAGCCACUUUACUGUGUUGUUUAUGUUGAUGUUGUUGAUGUUGUUGUUGAAGUUGUUGAGGUGGUUGUUGUUGUUGAGGUUGUUGUUGAUGUUGAAGUUGUUGAUGACGUUGUUGUUGAUGUUGUUGAUGCUGUUGUUGUUGACCUACUGCUGAGGAGCUGCGAAGUGGAGCCGUGUGAUUUGCGGACAAAGAAAGGAACAGCAAAAAAAACGGGCGACCAAAUGAACAUUUUAUUGGCAGUCCCAAGAAGAUCCCGGCUUUAGCCGGUCACCACGAGACCAGUCACUACACCUCAGUCUCCGUCCCGAACAAAACGUGAACGACGACUAAUUAUUAACAAAAAUUAUUCAUAAUAAUAAUAAUAAAGGUUAAUACUUUUUCCUUCCAUUUGAUAUAACGCAUCGGAAGGUCCAACCAACAGUUGAAUUGACCGAUUAAUUAUUAUUCUCAUUAGUUUUACGGAAGGAAUUGAUUACCCGCGGAAAGCGAUCGGCCGAUCGACUACCGAUCGACUAACUUAUUAUUAUUAUUAACGACCGGGUUCUCACUUACCGCCGGUCCGAAACUUUUAAUAAUAAACAUUAAUUGAUGCAACGCUUCAACCUUCGCUCCGUUUGACGCAGAACCUGUUGCUAUCUGGAGAUUUCUGUCAGCGCAGUAUUGAUUGAUUGAUUGAUUGAUUGAUUGAUUGACUUCUUUAUUUGGCCCAAUAAAUAUACGAUCAAUUCACUUGGUAGCGUAUCCCGUGAAGCGCUUUGAGACGUCUCGAAGACGUGAUGAGGCGUUGGUUCAAACGCAAUUCUUAUGCUUAUAUUGUCUGGAGCUCAGUUUGGCGACAGAAUGUGGGGAUCGAGCCCCCUCUCGCCCCUCCCGCCCCCCAUGACAGUCUCUCUCUCUCAUACUCUCUGUGAGUGAGUGUCUGUCUGUCUGACUCACUCAA